CAGGCCUAACACAUGCAAGUCGAGCGGGCGUAGCAAUACGUCAGCGGCAGACGGGUGAGUAACGCGUGGGAACAUACCUUUUGGUUCGGAACAACACAGGGAAACUUGUGCUAAUACCGAAUAAGCCCUUACGGGGAAAGAUUUAUCGCCGAAAGAUUGGCCCGCGUCUGAUUAGCUAGUUGGUGAGGUAACGGCUCACCAAGGCGACGAUCAGUAGCUGGUCUGAGAGGAUGAUCAGCCACAUUGGGACUGAGACACGGCCCAAACUCCUACGGGAGGCAGCAGUGGGGAAUAUUGGACAAUGGGCGCAAGCCUGAUCCAGCCAUGCCACGUGAGUGAUGAAGGCCCUAGGGUUGUAAAGCUCUUUUGUGCGGGAAGAUAAUGACGGUACCGCAAGAAUAAGCCCCGGCUAACUUCGUGCCAGCAGCCGCGGUAAUACA
rnacentral:rRNA from 1 species